AGUGAACGCUGGCGGUAGGCCUAGCACAUGCAAGUCGAACGGCAGCACAGUAAGAGCUUGCUCUUACGGGUGGCGAGUGGCGGACGGGUGAGGAAUACAUCGGAAUCUACUUUUUCGUGGGGGAUAACGUAGGGAAACUUACGCUAAUACCUCAUACUACCUACGGGUGAAAGCAGGGGAUCUUCGGACCUUGCGCGAUUGAAUGAGCCGAUGUCGGAUUAGCUAGUUGGCGGGGUAAAGGCCCACCAAGGCGACGAUCCGUGGCUGGUCUGAGAGGAUGAUCAGCCACACUGGAACUGAGACACGGUCAAGACUCCUACGGGAGGCAGCAGUGGGGAAUAUUGGACAAUGGGCGCAAGCCUGAUCCAGCCAUACCGCGUGGGUGAAGAAGGCCUUCGGGUUGUAAAGCCCUUUUGUUGGGAAAGAAAAGCAGCAGGUUAAUACCCCGCUGUUCUGACGGUACACAAAGAAUAAGCACCGGCUAACUUCGUG
rnacentral:rRNA from 1 species